rnacentral:rRNA from 1 species
AUUGAACGCUGGCGGCAGGCCUAACACAUGCGAGUCGGACGAGUGGCGGACGGGUGAGUAAUGUCUGGGGAUCUGCCUGAUGGCGGGGGAUAACUACUGGAAACGGUAGCUAAUACCGCAUACCAUCAGAUGUGCCCAUAUGGGAUUAGCUAGUUGGUGGGGUAACGGCUUACCAAGGCGACGAUCCCUAGCUGGUCUGAGAGGAUGACCAGCCACACUGGAACUGAGACACGGCCCAGACUCCUACGGGAGGCAGCAGUGGGGAAUAUUGCACAAUGGGCGCAAGCCUGAUGCAGCCAUGCCGCGUGUAUGAAGAAGGCCUUCGGGUUGUAAAGUACUUUCAGCGGGGAGGCGUUACCCGCAGAAGAAGCACCGGCUAACUCCGUGCCAGCAGCCGCGGUAAUAC